GCUCAGGUAGCUCAGUCGGUAGAGCAGGGGACUGAAAAUCCCCGUGUCGGCGGUUCGAUUCCGUCCCUGAGCA
rfam:Megasphaera genomosp. type_1 str. 28L contig00013, whole genome shotgun sequence.